CCCUUAGAUGUUCUGGGCCGCACGCGCGCUACACUGAUGCAUUCAACGAGUCUAAAACCUGCUCUGAUAGGGGUGGGUAAUCUUUUGAAUGUGCAUCGUGAUUGGGAUAGAUGAUUGCAAUUUUUCAUCUUCAACGAGGAAUGCCUAGUAAACGCAAGUCAUCAGCUUGCAUUGAUUACGUCCCUGCCCUUUGUACACACCGCCCGUCGCUCCUACCGAUUGAAUGAUCCGAUGAAUAUCAUGGAUUGAGGAUUAUAGCAGGUUCGCCUGUCUUGAUCUUCGAGAAGUGAAGUAAAUCUUAUCAUUUAGAGGAAGGAGAAGUCGCAACA
rnacentral:rRNA from 1 species